UAAUUAAACUUAUUUUUUCCUAUAGAAUAUUCGUGAGUUCUCGUCAGAAAUGAAAUGUUAGAAACUGCCCUAGCAUUCCCGCUCCACUCCCUCGCGACCGCCGGUGAAGCUCUCCGCUGCCAGACCAUUGUCCGAUAACCGCUGCUAGAGAGCUUUGAGUCGCUGCCACCGUGCCCUGGACGACGUCACCUUGCCCAGCCUUCAUCGGCGCCGUCUAUACCUCCACUGUGCCCUGUCGUCACUUCCAUCGUGCUUAUAAGGAUAGCAAUCCCUGAUUGUCGUGCUUUGGAUUGAUGAAGAAUAGUAGAGAUGGGAAAAGCUACAUUACAAACUUGGCAUUUACUCCACCAGAGUACGGACUGGUUGGUAUUUCUUCCGGAGCAGCUACUAUUGCUUUAAGGGUUGCAACGAGACCUGAAAAUGCCGGCAAACUUAUCACGGAUGAUUUUGAUUGUGUGAAGGAUAUAUGGUGAAGGCAAAGAAGACAACAUUGGAUAUAUUGGUUGAUGCAUCACAUGUUAAAGGAACGAAGGAGCAACAAGUGUUAUCUCAUUUGAAUGUUAGGAUUGAACUUAUUUGAUGAUUGAUCGACAAAUGUUAACUCAUUUUAAUUAUAGUUGUUAGGAUUUAACUUAUUUUGUAAUGGAUGUGGUAGAAUUGAUUGAAUUAAAUUUGAGUUGUAAUGAAUAUUGAAAUUUUAAUCAUGAUUAUGUUAUAAAUGAAAAUAAUUGUCAUA